AUUUGUGUCAAUCUUAUUCCAUUCUCCAUCACCUUCAUCUUCUCUCUGGCACAAUUGAAUCUCCAAACAUCAUUUCUCAAAAUUCAAAUCAUGGGUAGAUCAAAACAAUCUGUAAAACCCCGUGAUGUAAAACCCAUCUUACGAAGGACCAACCAGAAUCCAUAACUCUACUGCUUUUGUAUCUGAAUCAUUAGUGUAGCAAAAAAUUGGUCAACUGAGAAACCUCUUCUGCAGGACAGUAUAUAUCAAUUCCAUUGCAAAUUGGAGAUCCCUCUAAUAAACUUUUGAGAACAUCACUAGAAGAUUUAUGGUAAUUGAUUCAAAGUUUAAUUUUUCCCCACUUCGUAAAUUUGUUAUUUUCAUGUGUCGUGUUAGAAAUUGUUCUCAAGCAUUACAUCUGGUAGCAUUUCGAGAAUUAUAUAAAAGCUAGCUGCACAUGUUCAAAUUGAGUUUUAAUUUGUUUGAAGUGUUGGUAAAAUAGUUAAUGAAAUGUUAUUAUUUAGUUCAACAGGAAAUAAUUUGAAAAUUAAGCAUGGUAAAAUUUAUUUUAAAAAAAUGUAUGUAUCAUUUAUAAAUUUGAUUACUGGUAGUUUUUUGCAGUCAAUAUCAUUAACUAAUUCUUCCAUACUUGUUUUGUAGAUGGAUGCAACUAGUUGUGGCAACUGUAUAGAUAUGUCUCAAACUAAUGAGAAUGGAUCAUCAUCAAUACAACACAUAGCACCUUAUGUUGGGAUGAAAUUCAAGAUAGCAGAUGAAGCAAGGGCAUACUAUGAAGAUUUUGGACGACAAAAUGGUUUUUGUAUUCGUACUCGAACAAUAGUUAAGUUGCGCCCAUGCAUAAAUGAAGUUACCCUUAUUAAAUUUGUGUGUUCACAUGAAGGAAAAUAUUACAGCAGAAGAUUGUUGGAGGAUCAAGUGAAAUGGAAAAUUGUUAAAAUGAGGGUUCUACAAAAGAAAAAGUUGGUCAACAAUUAGAGGUGGAUGCAAGGCUAACAUGCAAAUCUCAAAUGACAUUGAAGGUGGCUAUUGGAUUGUUAAAGCAUUCGAAGAUGAUCACAACCAUGAAUUUGUUUCACCAAUGAAAAGGAUAAAAAUGAUGUCAAAUAGAAGCAUGCUUGAAUUAGCAAAAAAUCUCUUCGAAGCGUUCAGAAAUGAGAAUAUAAAAGUUGCCAAUGUUUUCUCAAUUCUUAAUGGUGAUGCUAUUGGUUGAAAUAGGAAAGAUUGUUAUAAACACUUAAAGGUAUAUAAG
rnacentral:lncRNA from 1 species